GCAGGGCAUGGUGGCACAUGCUUGUAGUCUCAGUUACUUGGGAGGCUGAGGUAGGAGGAGCACUUGAGUCAGGAGUUCAGGGCCAGCCUAAGCAACAUAGUGAGACCCCAAUCUCAA
rnacentral:sRNA from 1 species